UGUGUACUCCCUCCGUUCCAAAAUACUUGACUUCCAUUUGUCCAAAAAUGGAUGUACCUAUAUACUAAGACAUGUCUAGAUACAUAUAUAUUUUGACAAAUAGAAGGCAUGUAUUGUGCAACGGAGGGAGUAGAAU
rfam:Triticum aestivum genome assembly, contig: Triticum_aestivum_CS42_TGACv1_scaffold_374116_5AL